rnacentral:misc_RNA from 1 species
CCACCCUCAAGCCUCGGCUUGGUGUUGGGGAUCGCCCCUCCCCCGCGAGGUGGCGGCCCUUGAAUCCAUCGGCGGUGCCGGUGCGGCCUGGAGCGCAGCAGCGAUGCAGCUCAGGGACGCCCGACGCCCGCCGUGCAAGCGCGGCAGCGGAAACGCGGCCACAACCGUCAAA